rnacentral:rRNA from 1 species
UAUCUCUGUAGAGUCUGCAUAUCAAUAAGCGGAGGAAAAGAAACUAACUAGGACUCCCUCAGUAACGGCGAGUGAAGCGGGAAGAGCUCAAGUUUGAAAUCUUCAAGGUUUACCUUGACGAAUUGUAGUUUAAAGAAGUGUUUUCUGUUGGAGUUUUGGUAAAAGUUCUUUGGAAUAGGACAUCAUAGAGGGUGAGAAUCCCGUAUUUGACCAUUACUUUCCAGCUUUGUGAUACACUUUCAAAGAGUCGGAUUGUUUGGGAAUGCAGUCCAAAAUGGGUGGUAAAUUUCAUCUAAAGCUAAAUACUUGGCGAGAGACCGAUAGCGAACAAGUACCGUGAGGGAAAGAUGAAAAGAACUUUGAAAAGAGAGUUAAACAGUACGUGAAAUUGUCAAAAGGGAAGCGUUUGACACCAGUGUUGUUUUCUCGAAAAUCAAUUAAAAAAAGUUGGAUUUUGUAUUGUUAAGACCUUAUCAGCUUACUGUACUCUUUUCUUGCUUUUUUUAAUGCACUUUUCGUUUAACAAGUCAACAUCAAUUUCUUUUGUUGUAAAAGGGUCAUUGGAAGGUGGCUUUCUUUUCGGAGAAAGUGUUUAUAGCCUUUGGCCUCUGCAAUCGGAGAGAUUGAGGUCUGCAGCGUAGAUCCUUCGGGGCUAGAUACGUAGAUGCUAAGUUAUAGUUUUUUAUAGACAACUUGUUGACUAUAAUUAAUCAUGUAGCUUACUCGUUUGCGCUAUUUUACCUACGCUUAGGAUGUUGACGAUCAGCUGAGCGCG